UGGGAGGUAACUGUAUCAUGGACGUGGGAUUUUCCCAUGCUGUUCUCAUGAUAAUGAAUAAGUCUCAUGAGAUCUGACUGUUCUAUAAAAGGGCAGUUCCCCUGCACACACCUUCUUGCCUGCUGCCACAAAGACGUGUCUUGCUUCCCCUUCGCCAUCUGCCUUGAUUGUGAGGCCUCCCCAGCCACGUGGAACAACUUUGCUGCUCUAUUGCCAAACUACUCAUAUCCCCCUGUUACUGUGAAACUUGGUGAAAUUCCUCAGGGAUUUUGAGACAUCAAAGCAAUCUCUCUAGUUCUGGAAAGACUGAAUUUGCAGCAUCUGCUGAAAUGAGGUCUUCAGCUCCCGGACAUAGAAGAGCAAGACAUGUAUGGAAAAAUGCUAUCGUGGGAGGAGACAAGGGUAUGAUUCAAGUGCUGGGAUGUUGUUAAAGAAAAAAGACACGAUAGUGAUCUGAAAGAAAAGGGUCAGACAAAGAAGACUGAUGAUAAGCAAUAAUUUAAUUCACCUAAAGCUCAGACAAGCCAUGAAUAGAUCUAUCAAAAUCAAAUCAGUAACUGACAUUUGUACAAAACAUGCAAUUAAUCCAAAGGUUUAUAGCCUUUCAAGAUAAAUAACUGUCAUGACGGAAUCCAUCCUUUACUGAAGGAGUGUUUCAUCUGAAAGACACAGAGGCUUUUACAGCAUUGCUGAAAGUUCAGCAGAAAAUACAGCAGAAUUUUCAGCUUUGUUGUAAAAGGUAACACAGUAUCAAUGACUGGUUUCCAAGAAGUGUGUCAAUUUUUUUUUAUUACUUUCAUGUAAACUAUAAGUUGAAUACCAUUGAUUUAUUAGGUAAAAAUGCUGUCAUGUAAAUUACAAUAAUAAACACAACCUAUCAACAUAAAAGCAAUGCCAGUAUUUCUUCUCCAAAUAUCUUCAUUUGUUUCAAAAAGUCAUUCACAUAAAAUGGGCAUGUUGGCUCAUAUUGAGUAUAUUUUUCUUAGAAAAUACAAUAAUGGUAUUCUAAUGAACAAAUU
rnacentral:lncRNA from 10 species